CCUGAUGCAGCGACGCCGCGUGAGGGAUGACGGCCUUCGGGUUGUAAACCUCUUUCACCAGGGACGAAGCGUGAGUGACGGUACCUGGAGAAGAAGCACCGGCCAACUACGUGCCAGCAGCCGCGGUAAUACGUAGGGUGCGAGCGUUGUCCGGAAUUACUGGGCGUAAAGAGCUCGUAGGCGGUUUGUCGCGUCGUCUGUGAAAUUCUGCAACUCAAUUGCAGGCGUGCAGGCGAUACGGGCAGACUUGAGUACUACAGGGGAGACUGGAAUUCCUGGUGUAGCGGUGAAAUGCGCAGAUAUCAGGAGGAACACCGGUGGCGAAGGCGGGUCUCUGGGUAGUAACUGACGCUGAGGAGCGAAAGCGUGGGUAGCGAACAGGAUUAGAUACCCUGGUAGUCCACGCCGUAAACGGUGGGUACUAGGUGUGGGUUCCUUUUCACGGGAUCCGUGCCGUAGCUAACGCAUUAAGUACCCCGCCUGGG
rnacentral:rRNA from 1 species